CGCCCGGCCCCGCCCGGCCCGCCCCGUUCGCCGGGCGACGUGCGCAUGGAGGCCGGCUGAGGAGCGCCGCCGCCUCGCUUGGCAUCUUUCACAAAUCAGGAAGCUGUUGCCCAGCCAUGGAGGGGAAGGAACAGACACCUCAGGAGGCUGACAUGGAACCCGUCGUGACCUCAGGGGCUUCGGAGGCAGUGCCCAGGGUGCUUUCUGGAAAUCCCCAGAACCUGUCCGAUGUAGAUGCCUUCAACCUGCUCCUGGAGAUGAAGCUAAAGCGGCGGCGUGAGCGGCCUAACCUGCCGCGGACCGUGACCCAGCUGGUAGCUGAAGAUGGGAGCAGGGUGUAUGUAGUAGGCACUGCCCAUUUCAGUGAUGACAGCAAGCGGGAUGUUGCGAAGACUAUUCGGGAGGUGCAGCCUGAUGUGGUGGUCGUGGAGCUCUGCCAGUACCGUGUGUCCAUGCUGAAGAUGGAUGAGAGGACGCUGCUGCGCGAGGCCAAGGAGGUCAGCCUGGAGAAGUUGCAGCAAGCUGUGAGGCAGAACGGGCUCAUGUCUGGGCUUAUGCAGAUGCUACUGCUCAAGGUGUCCGCCCACAUCACCGAGCAGCUGGGCAUGGCUCCUGGCGGCGAGUUCAGGGAGGCCUUCAAGGAGGCCAGCAAGGUGCCAUUCUGCAAGUUCCACCUGGGUGACCGACCUAUCCCAGUCACCUUCAAGAGGGCCAUUGCUGCACUGUCUUUCUGGCAGAAAGUCAAGCUAGCCUGGGGCCUGUGCUUCCUGUCAGACCCAAUCAGCAAGGACGACGUGGAGCGCUGCAAGCAGAAGGACCUGCUAGAACAGAUGAUGGCAGAGAUGAUUGGAGAGUUUCCCGAUCUGCAUCGCACCAUCGUCUCGGAGCGAGAUGUCUACCUGACUUACAUGCUGCGCCAAGCUGCCCGGCGCCUUGAGCUGCCCCGUGCCUCUGAUGCUGAGCCCAGGAAGUGUGUCCCCUCCGUGGUCGUGGGUGUUGUGGGCAUGGGCCACGUGCCUGGCAUCGAGAAGAACUGGAGAACUGACCUCAAUAUCCAGGAGAUCAUGACCGUACCCCCGCCGUCCAUCUCAGGCAGAGUGUCCCGGCUGGCUGUGAAGGCUGUUUUCUUCGGACUGCUGGGCUACGGCCUGUACUGGAUGGGUCGGCGAACCGAAGCAUGACUGUCUGCCUUGCCCUGGCUCUUGCUGUCCUCCUCUUCCCUAUGGCCUGGGUCAGCUCAAUGGUUCAGCAGCGACAGCCGGGAAGGACUGUUCUCAGAUCUGGGUGGAAGACCCCACGGCCCACGGUGGCACAUACACCAUCCCGCCUGAAGGGGCCAGCAGCCCAUCAAUGCACUGCGUUGCCCUGCAGCCUGGGAUGGUGACCUGAGAGGAGCUUUGUGCCCAAGUCUAGCAGGAAUAAGGAACCAAUGCUCAGGUUGGCAGGAGGCAGGGAAAGGCUGGGCUCUGCCAGUGGGAUAUUUAGUAAGGGGACUAUGAAAUGGGGGGGUAGAUACACAGGGUACAGUGUCAUUGCAGAGUGAGUGACUCACAUCACAUUGGACAACACUGAGGCUUGGAUGCUUCUGUGGAUCUUCACCCUAUUUCUGAAAAAUCUGAAUUUGUAUCCAUGUUUGCAUUACAUUAUAGGCACAAAAACAGUAAGGUAUGCUUUUUUCAAAUAAAUAUAAGGUACCUUGGGGAGCAUGGAUGUGGGCACACACGUGAGUCGGCCAAGGCUCCUGACUGCCUCUUGUCCUGCCAGGUUCUCUGUGCCACGCAGGAGGAUGGUGGCUGGACUGUGAUCUGAUCCGGAGUCAAGACUGGGACAGGGAAAGGCAGCUGGACUUAGAGAGGUCCUGGCACAAGUGUAAACAGGUCUUUGGAGACUUGGGAAGGUAGGAGGGUUGGGCCGCCUAUGGGACAUGGACAGGCUUUGCCCUGGUGCUGCCACUUUCAUCCCAUAGGGACCAUAAGGGGGCAGGUGGGGCCUCUAGAGGAGAUACAACAAUAACAGGGAGACAUGGCUUGGGGCUAUGGAGGUGCCAGCAAGCCAGGUGUCUACUGGCUGUGGCUGGAGCACAUCUCAGACAUGAGUUCCCAGCUGGGCCUGCAGACGGAGUUGGCUGUGGGCCUGUGGGACAUGGACAACCUUAUACUUUGGGCCCAGUAUGACAACAUCCAUGUUGGCAAGGAGGACCAGUUCUACCUUGGGCCAGUACUCAAGAAAUGUGGGUGAGCAUCUAGAGGACCUGAGUUCACCUGGCCACUUCCCCUUCCCCUAAGAGUCUUCUGUUUUGCUGAGAAACUCCCACAGACUGGGAGUAGGGGGCUUAUAGAGGGUCAGAUGAGGGCCCCAGAGGCCCAGCCUGCAUUAUGGGAAGAGCUGCUGCUACCUAAGGGCUGGCCCUGGGUAUCUCAGAUGGUGAGGCACUCUGGGCAGCUCAGAUCUGGGAGAUCCCUGAGGGAACAGAGAGGGGGGACUACUAAACCCACUGCCCUUACCAUGCAGGGGAUGUAUUCCAGAGCUCAGGCCACACUGACAGCCAGGAGGGCAGCACCUUCAGCAUGCUGGACCAAGAUCAUGAUGACUGCACACUCUGUUGGGAGAGUUCUGGUAGCUUUGCCAGCUGUAGCCAAGAUCGCUCAGGCACUGGCUGAUGGUAUAGCAACUGCGGCCAGGCUGACCUCAACAGGCCUUAGUCAGGGGAUGCAGGGCCUUCCUUGGGUCCUCACUGGGCCACGGGAGGUGAUGAGCAGGCCAUGCACCCUAGUACACUGAGCAUUUGCAUGGCUUGGACCCACAAGGCCUAGGCACUACACCCCCUGGCAGUUGGGGAGCCUUAGCACAUUAAACAUUCAAGCCCACUGUCCUCUGCAUCUUUUGUGUCAACACAGGGGAGGGGCAAUCAGUUUCUUGGAAGAGUCUAUGCAGCUCAAUAGUGUGGUCAAGAGAAAGUCACUAUGAAUGUGUUGGGCUGCUGUCCUGUCUGCUGCCCUUCUAGAACCUUUAGCACCCACUGGUGUCCCUCAGGCUAUGAGCUUGGUGAGGUAGGCAAGUCACAAACCUGACAUGUACAGACCCUCAAUAACCCAAUCCCACCUGAUUCCAGAGUUCAGUUGAGCCAGGGAGCCAGACUGGAGCCAGGAAUAUGAGUCAGGAGGGCCCAAGGCCUGGAAAGAGGGAAGCUCUGGUCAGGUCUCCAAGGGCAGUUAGAGGAGAACACAGGAAACAGAUGUGGUGGCUCCACAGCAGGCUGAGUGGAGAAGACCCCAGACAGGCCCCAGUGUGGGUCCUCAGAGGAAAAUGUUGCUGUCAGGUGCAGGAGAGGGCUCCCACCUAGGUACCA